rnacentral:rRNA from 1 species
CCUCUGGUAUUCCGUGAGAGCAUGCCAGUCUUGAGUGUCAU